rnacentral:rRNA from 1 species
GACGAACCGUCCUAACGUUGUUCGGAAUCACUGGGCUUAAAGGGCGCUUAGGCGGCUUGCCAAGUCCGGGGUGAAAUCCUGCAGCUUAACUGUAGAAGGGCCUUGGAUACUGGCGAGCUCGAGGGAGGUAGGGGUAUGUGGAACUUCCGGUGGAGCGGUGAAAUGCGUUGAUAUCGGAAGGAACGCCGGUGGCGAAAGCGACGUACUGGAUCUCUUCUGACGCUGAGGCGCGAAAGCUAGGGGAGCAAACGGG